rnacentral:rRNA from 1 species
CUACGGGUGGCAGCAGUGAGGAAUAUUGCACAAUGGGGGGAACCCUGAUGCAGCAACGCCGCGUGGAGGAUGACGCAUUUCGGUGUGUAAACUCCUUUUAUAUGUCAAGAAAAUGACGGUAGCAUAUGAAUAAGCACCGGCUAACUCCGUGCCAGCAGCCGCGGUAAUACGGAGGGUGCAAGCGUUACUCGGAAUCACUGGGCGUAAAGGACGCGUAGGCGGGUUGGAAAGUCAGGUGUGAAAUCCUACAGCUUAACUGUAGAACUGCACUUGAAACUCUCAAUCUAGAGUAUGGGAGGGGCAGAUGGAAUUAGUGGUGUAGGGGUAAAAUCCGUAGAUAUCACUAGGAAUACCUAAAGCGAAGGCGAUCUGCUGGAACAUUACUGACGCUAAGGCGUGAAAGCGUGGGGAGCAAACAGGAUUAGAUACCCGCGUAGUC